AGCGAACGCUGGCGGCAGGCUUAACACAUGCAAGUCGAGCGGGCGUAGCAAUACGUCAGCGGCAGACGGGUGAGUAACGCGUGGGAACAUACCUUUUGGUUCGGAACAACACAGGAACUUGUGCUAAUACCGGAUAAGCCCUUACGGGGAAAGAUUUAUCGCCGAAAGAUUGGCCCGCGUCUGAUUAGCUAGUUGGUGAGGUAACGGCUCACCAAGGCGACGAUCAGUAGCNGGUCUGAGAGGAUGAUCAGCCACAUUGGGACUGAGACA
rnacentral:rRNA from 1 species